rnacentral:lncRNA from 1 species
GGGAAAGGAAGUACUUAGUGACUCAGUCUCUCCUACUAUAGGUGGACUUUAUUUCUGCACCAGGGAAGACAGACCUCUGCUAAUUCUGGACUCAAACACUGAUGGCUCUAGCCCUGGAGAAGAAAGAGGAUCUCCUUUAUCGAGGGCCAGGUGAACCUUGCAAAACCCAGAACAGCCAGCCCUGAUCUUUGGUUUUGAUGGCGUGAGAAAUCACAGAACAAGGUUGAUGGCCUGCCGGCGUGCCCCAGCGUGCCGUUGUCUGCUGGUGCUUGUCAGUGUGCUCUUCCGCCAGUGUGUUCCUCUUGACAUCCAGCCACCUGUGAGUUCCUCCACCAAUGUGUUCCUCUCGACGUCCAGCGGCUUGUGUCUCUGCCUGCGAGGGUCUCAGAGUUUUUAUAGGUACAGGAUGGGGGCAUGAUGGGCCAGGGUGGUCUUGGGAAAUAUCAAAAUCGGUCAUGGGAAGAAGCAAAUGGGACAGAAUCCAGGAAAAGUUCCAAAUGCAGAGCUUCUGUGGUCUUCUCCCUGUAGAGUCAUGGACCAUGUUACUUUCCCUUCACUAAUGUAUGACAACACACACAAACUAUUACCAACGAGGGGAGCUCACCUGAGCCUUGGUGCCCAGAGUCCAUCUUGGG